rnacentral:rRNA from 1 species
GAGACUCUGUGCGCGUGCAUAUCAAUAAGCGGAGGAAAAGAAACUAACAAGGAUUCCCUUAGUAACGGCGAGUGAAGCGGGAAGAGCUCAAAUUUGAAAUCUUCAAGGUUUUACCUUGACGAAUUGUAGUUUAAAGAAGUGUUUUCUGUUGGAGUUUUGGUAAAAGUUCUUUGGAAUAGGACAUCAUAGAGGGUGAGAAUCCCGUAUUUGACCAGUUACUUUCCAGCUGUGUGAUACACUUUCAAAGAGUCGGAUUGUUUGGGAAUGCAGUCCAAAAUUGGUGGUAAAUUUCAUCUAAAGCUAAAUAUUGGCGAGAGACCGAUAGCGAACAAGUACCGUGAGGGAAAGAUGAAAAGAACUUUGAAAAGAGAGUUAAACAGUACGUGAAAUUGUCAAAAGGGAAGCGUUUGACACCAGUGUUGUUUUCUCGAAAAUCUAUUAAAAAUGGCUUGAUUUUGUGUUGUAUUGACUUUAUCGGCUUUCUGCACUUUUUUCAUGUCUUUUUUAAUGCACUUUUCGUUUAACAAGUCAACAUCAAUUUCUUUUGUUGUAAAAGGGUUAUUGGAAGGUGGCUUUCUCUUCGGAGGAAGUGUUUAUAGCCUUUAACCUCUGCAAUCGGAGAGAUUGAGGUCUGCAGCGUAGAUCCUUCGGGGUUAGAUACAUUUGUGCUAAGUUAUAGUCUUUUAUAGACAACUUGUUGACUAUGACUGAUCUUGUAGCUUACUCGCUUAUGCUAUUUUACCUACGCUUAGGAUGUUGAAGAUGUAGCACAUCAU